ACAAAAUCACGUCUGUGACUACUGAAUUCACUCCAUUCAAUUUCUCUCUCUCUCUCUCUCUCUCUCUCUCUCUCUCUCUCUAAAACAGUGGUUGUUACUUCCCACAGUUCCGGCGUCCGCCAUGGACGCAGCUUCUCACCUCGUUUGCUACGGUAUCGAGCCUCUGCGUCGAACCUUCCCGACCCGUAGAUCCUCUUCGUACGGAAGAAUUCGGAUCCCCAAACGGACUACCAGUCGAGUUCUUGCGGUCGCUACCGAACCUAAACCACCUCCGACAGGAUCGUCGAAACCUCCUCCGCCGGCAAAAUCUGUUAAUGGAGUUUCCUCGAGGAUUGGAGAUAUGUCGAAGGAAAUUAAAAGAGUGAGGGCACAGAUGGAAGAAAACGAAGAAUUGGCGAUACUGAUGAGAGGUCUUCGUGGAACAAAUUUAAGAGAUUCUCAGUUUGCUGAGGAUAAUGUUGAGCUUCGCCUUGUUGAGGUAGACGAAAGCAGUGAAUUUCUGCCUUUGGUAUAUGAUCCUGCUAGCAUCUCUGCUUAUUGGGGAAAACGUCCACGUGCUGUUGCUACACGCAUUGUCCAAUUAAUGUCUGUUGCAGGGGGGUUUCUUUCACGUAUUGCAUUAGAUGUCAUAAACAAAAAGGUCAAAGAGAAUGAAGUUGCUAGAGCCAUUGAGCUAAGGGAGAUUGUAACCUCUUUGGGUCCAGCUUAUAUCAAACUUGGGCAAGCAUUGAGCAUUAGGCCUGAUAUACUUUCACCAAGUGCGAUGACUGAGCUUCAAAAACUCUGUGAUAAGGUGCCUUCAUUCCCAGAUGAUGUCGCUAUGGCUCUUAUCGAAGAGGAGCUUGGUCGUCCAUGGCAGGAGAUAUAUUCUGAACUCUCACCUUCCCCCAUUGCUGCUGCAUCCCUUGGACAAGUGUACAAGGGCCGGUUGAAAGAAAAUGGUGAUUUGGUGGCUGUUAAAGUGCAAAGGCCCUUCGUUCUUGAGACUGUAACAGUUGAUCUGUUCGUCAUAAGAAAUUUGGGACUGGUUCUUCGCAAGUUUCCCCAGAUCUCUGUAGAUGUUGUCGGACUGGUUGAUGAAUGGGCAGCCCGUUUUUUUGAGGAGCUAGAUUAUGUUAAUGAGGGUGAAAAUGGAACACGUUUUGCUGAAAUGAUGAAAAAGGACCUUCCACAGGUUGUUGUCCCCCAAACCUACGAGAAGUAUACUUCAAGAAAGGUUCUUACUACCGGAUGGGUUGAAGGAGAAAAGCUUUCACAAAGUACAGAAAGUGAUGUUGGAGAACUUGUUAAUGUUGGAGUAAUCUGCUAUCUGAAGCAGCUGCUUGACACUGGUUUUUUUCAUGCUGAUCCUCAUCCUGGAAAUUUAAUUCGGACUCCAGAUGGGAAGCUAGCUAUUCUUGAUUUUGGACUUGUCACAAAAUUAACGGACGAUCAAAAGUAUGGAAUGAUCGAAGCAAUUGCUCAUCUUAUACAUCGUGAUUAUGGAGCCAUAGUCAGAGACUUCGUUAAACUUGGUUUCAUUCCAGAAGGUGUUAAUUUGGAACCCAUUUUGCCUGUCCUGGCCAAGGUUUUUGAUCAGGCACUUGAAGGUGGAGGUGCUAAAAAUAUCAAUUUCCAGGAGCUGGCAGCAGACUUGGCUCAGAUAACAUUUGACUAUCCGUUUCGGAUACCCCCUUAUUUUGCCCUCAUAAUCAGGGCAAUUGGGGUGCUGGAAGGCAUAGCUUUAGUUGGAAAUCCUGAAUUUGCGAUUGUAGAUGAGGCCUAUCCAUACAUUGCACAGAGGCUCCUAACCGAUGAAUCUCCACGUCUAAGGAAUGCUUUACGCUAUACAAUAUACGGGAAAUCUGGAGUUUUCGAUGCAGAAAGAUUCAUUGAUGUUAUGCAAGCCUUUGAGAAUUUCAUAACGGCUGCUAAAAGUGGAGGUGGAGAGGAUCUGAAUGGUGAUAUGGCCGAACUCGGCCUGAUGCAACGUACAACAGAAAAUACAUUCCCAUUAAUGCUACCAAAUCUAUCUCAACAGGAGCCUGUCCAAACAAGGGCAGCUUUGGGAUUCCUUCUUUCUGAUAAAGGAAACUUCUUCCGAGAAUUUCUUCUGGACGAGAUCGUAAAGGGCAUCGAUGCAGUCACAAGGGAACAGUUGGUGCGUACAAUGGCACUCCUUGGACUUGGAAAUACUACCCCUAUCUUCAGUAUGGCCCCUACUUUCGGACCAUUCAAACCGGCAGGGCUUCUACCAACAGUAACCGAAGAAGACAAAGUUAUAUUAAACAAUGUCCAAAAAGUUGUUGAGUUUUUAACUGCUGGAACUUCAAUACCAAAACCAUCAAAUGAGAGUUUGAAUAUUCCUCGGGUUUUUCAAGAGCUUCUCCCGGUGUUGCCAGGCAUCUCCACCACAAUACUUCCGGAAGUUAUCAACCGAUUAACUUCUAGAGUAUUAGCUCGCGUCAUUCGAGACACAUUUUUGUAGAAAACAUUCUUAAUCUUAACUUUGGUUGCUACAUGAAGGCCUCAAUUGUUUAUAUAUAUAAUUGUAAAACAGUAUCCCAUAUAUAUGUAAGUGCCAUAUCCAAAUCCAACCAACACUACCAAGGAACUGAAGAAAACCUCAUCAUUGUAUAUAACAAGUUCCAAUUCAAAUCACUAUAUACUUAAUCUGUAUAUAGUAAAAGCAAAUUGAAGGAGGAGGAGUUGUUGUUGGACCCACAUAAAAAACUUUUUGUCUCUCUUAGGUGGAGAACAAGCAGAGAGAAGGGACAUAAAUAUUUGUGUUGUGUCUUUUAAAUUUUCUUUUUUCACCAUUUACUUCCUUCCAGACAGCUGGAAUCAUUUCAUGUCUAAAUAUCUAACCAAUCAACACACCAUUGUUCAACUUUCCUUGUCAUAAUAAUCAAAUAGCAGAGUUCAGUCAGGAGUAGAGCCCGCGUGCCCUAACAAUACGGACCAAAAAAAAAAGUGAAUUUUCAUUUCACCACAAGAAAAAGGGGUCCUUUUCUUUCUCAAAUCAGCUCAAUAUCUGAUAAAAUAAAAAGCCUAAAGUUAACACUAUGGUUAAAAUGGUGGAAUGAAUGAGGAGUGGAAGGAAAGAGAUGGAGGAUAGGUGAAAUUAUUUGUUUGGCAAAAAGUAAUGGAAAGGUGGAGGGAAAGUCCUAACUCAAGUUUUAAUCCUUCUUAAAAUGAAUGGAUUUAGAAAAGAAAAAAAAAAAAAGACAUAUAUAUAUACAAUAUUAUAUUUGCCCUUAAAAAAAUAAUGAAUAAUUAUAUUAGGAAUGAUAGUGUUGUAAUUUUAGUAAUUAAUUUAUGUUUUAUUAUUUUAAUUUCACUUCUAGUGCUAAAUAAUAUAGAGUAGAGCUACUUUUAUCUCCACCUUUCAUAUUCUCUAUCAUUUCCUUCCAUUCUACUUUCCAUCAUUCUUACCAAACAUAGCCUAAGAUAGGAUAAUUACAUUAUGUUUGGUGGAGUGGAGAGAAGGAAGGAGGAAGAGGAAUAGAGGAAUGGAUGAAUUUUCUUGUUUGGCAAGAGGGAGAGAUAGAGGGAGAUCUUCUAAAUACACAACUUUUAGUCAAUGAAGGAAUUUAAGACAAUUAACAAAAAAAAAAUCAUAUUAAAUGUUUUUUUUACCUUCAAAAAAAUAAUAUAUAAUUAUAUUAAAAAUGAUAAAACAAUCAUUUUAAUAUUUAUUUUACUUUUUAUCCUUUUAACUUUACUCUUAACACUAAACAACACUCAAGGGAGAACAAUUAUCAUUCUCAUCCCUCCUUCCUACCAAACAUAACCUAUUCUAUAUCCAUUUGUCGAAAUAACCAUACAUAAUAAUUUUACACUAAUAUUAAAAUAGAUUCGAUAAGCUAUCUAUAUCCACCGACACAUAUUUAACAAUCAAAAAUUAGCCAAAAACCGGUUUGUUCUUACAUAGAGUGAAUUUAUGGCUAGUUUCACUUUUGAUUUGUAUGUGUGUAUUAUUUUCUGCCACCACUAUUUCACAUACCAUUUAAGAAAUCUCCAUCAAAGGUAUGUAGAUUAAAUUAACUAACAUUGUGGAAAAGUCUUGAGAAUAUGUGAUGAAAAAAAUUCUUAACAUAUACUACCAUCACCACAUGUUUUUGUCCCAUAUUAUUUUAAGGGAUAAAUAUUUGUUGGAUUGUGGAUCAACCAUUUUAAUUUGAUGGUGAAAUAAUUUGUUCAGCCAAUCAAAGUAAGAAAAAAUAAAAAUAAGAUGGCUAGCUAAAGAGUAUAUGUACAUGUAUUCUUCUACAUGUCUAUCUAUGUAAAAUAUUUUUCUUUGAUUGUAAAGCUAUAUUUUACUAGAUUGUAGUAACUAGUAACUUAAUAUGUUUGGUGAGAGGGAAGGAAAUUAGUAUGGGGGACAGUUUAAGAAAGGUAGAGAGUAUGAUGGAAGUGGAAUUUGAGGAUAACAUGUCUCCUUCAUAUUAUUUGGUAUUGGAAGUAGAGUUAGAAUGAUGUAAAGUUAAUUAUUUAUUAAAAUUACUAUAUUAUUAUUUUAAAAUAUAUAUUAUUUAUUUGUUAUGAAAGGUAUUUAGGACAUUUAAUAUACUUAUUUUGUCAUUUUUUCUUCUUUUUAUUUUUGAAAAGCCUGAAUUUUGUACAUUUGAAGAAAAAAUGUACCAUUCUAUAUCUAUUUUCUCCAUUUUCUUUCCUCCCUACCAAACACAUAAUUUAUUUUCCAACCCACUCAAAAAUUCUUCCUACAUGUACUGUAAGAAUCAAUAAUCAAUAAUAAAUUGAUCUCUCUCUUAACAAGAGAUAAUAAGGCAAAAUUAGAAGUAAAAUUUUAAACUUACGACUUUCUCUAUUUUUAAGAAUAUUUUUAUAAUAACACCGAAUAAUAUUAUUUAAUAAUAUUUGAUGAAAUUAAUAUUUAUAUGAAUUGCCAAAAUAUUUUAAGUAUAAAUUCUGAAUAAAUUAAAAUUUAUCUUAAUUUUAAGUGAAGCGACCAUCUUACUUAGAUUUCAGGUGACUUUCCCCUUACAAUCAAGUAAGUAGAUAAUUUACUUAAUUUGAAUCAUGCAAGACUGUCCAACCCGUAUUGUGGUACAAUAUUCUUUGUCAAAUUUGAUGAUAGAUAGUUUGAGUUGCCUAAAUGAUGACCCCCUUGCUCAUGGUUUUAAUAAAAGUAAGCAUUUAGAGUAAUUAUUGGCAAUAUUCCAUUCAUAAAAAGUACUUGAUUUUUCUCAAACCACACCAACAUUCUGACCAAGCCAAAGGCAUAAAGAUAAAGUACACAUAAUUUGAUGCUGCAUUUCAUAAUGUGUCUUAAACUUAAAAAACAUUUCAUAUUUUGGAACAAUCCAAUCCACCCCAAAGCAUAAAAAUAUUCUCAAUUUGCCAACUCCUCAAUUUCCCACUUGUAACAAACUCAUGCCAUAAAAAGCAAAUUAGUACACCAAAUUAUAUUAUUAUUAUUAUAAAUAAUAAUAAAAAAAAAAAUACUAGAUGCCCCCAUUUGAAAGGCUCCCUCAUUAUAAGCAAAACAAUGAGUAUUUCCUCUAUAAACAGUCAAAAGAUAAAGAGCACUCCUUUUUUUGGUUUCACCCAUUUAACUACAUUAAUUAAUAAUAUUAAUAAAAUUAACAAUGAGUGCUAAACAAACUAAAAAAUUAAAAAUAUAUCUUUAUAUAAAUAAAUAAAAAAAAAAAGCAAAAGUGAAGCCACCUUUAGUGGAAGGAGAUAAGGCAUGAAAUAUGAUUGUACCUCUUACCUAUUCUCAACCUUUCCCAACCCAACCCAAAAAAAUAAAUAAAAAACAAACCUUUAACACAAAUCAUAACAAUCAUUUACAUAUAAACUAAAACUUUUGUUUCUCCAAAGAUUUCAUUUUUAUUUUCCCUUUCUUAUUUUUGAUCCAUUUCCCAUCUCAUAUCUCAAACCCUUUGCCAUGGUGAUUUUAGUACAAGAGUUUGAUUUUUGUUGUAGCCAAGAGCAAAACAUAUCAUAAAGCUUUCAUUUUUAUUUGUCUUUUUUUUUUUUUUUUGUAUAUUAUUGUAAAUUUGUCCGUACAAUUGUUACUCCUGGCGGCCACGGCUCAAAACAAGUGCACCUCUUUAGUGUGUUCUUGCUAUGUACCCUCAAAAGGGUUUAACAACAAUACUAAUAAUACCAAUAAUAAUAAUAAUAAUAAUGUCAAUAUCAAAAAUACCAAGAAGCUAUCUCAGGCUGAAAAGAAAGAUGGGUUUUUGGAAGAACAAGGUUUUGAUGAUAUUGGUAAAAAUGGAAGAAGAAGAAGAAGAAGAAGAAGAAAAAGAAGUGGGUCUAAUGUGUCUCAUCAGAAGAUUAUUAGUCAACAACAACAACAACAACAAGAAGGACCCUUUAAUCUCAAGAGUAAUUUGAAGAAAACAGUGGUGAAUAAGAAUAAUCAAUCAUCAAAGUUAGAAGAAGAAGAAGAAGAAGCAAAGAUAGAAAAGAGGAAAGUUACUUGGCCUGAUGCUCAUGGAGAUGAUAUUGCUCAUGUUCAGGAAUUUGAGCCAAGUGUAUCAGAAGAUGGUGAACUUGAAGGAGUAAGGAACUCUUGUGUUUGUGUCAUUCAAUAAUGAGGAUUUUGCCUAAAGAUGGGGAUCUCCUUUCUUCCUUCCAAUGCAUCUCUUCUGGAAUAAAUUUGAGAGAACUAAACUUUAUGUCUUUUGCUUGGUUGACUUCAUAUAGGUUUUAGCUAGUGCACCCUUUUUGUGUCUUAUUUCAAUGACAUGCCUAAUUUGUUAUGGAAAAUAAAGGUAAGGAAAUGGCCCUCCUCCACAA